rnacentral:rRNA from 1 species
GUGCCAGCCGCCGCGGUAAUACGUAGGUGGCAAGCGUUGUCCGGAUUUAUUGGGUUUAAAGGGUGCGUAGGUGGUCUAUUAAGUCAGUGCUGAAAUAUCCCGGCUUAACCGGGAGGGUGGCAUUGAUACUGAUGGACUUGAGUAAAGUUGAGGUAGGCGGAAUUGACGGUGUAGCGGUGAAAUGCUUAGAUAUCGUCAAGAACACCUAUUGCGAAGGCAGCUUACUAAGCUUUAACUGACACUGAUGCACGAAAGUGUGGGGAUCAAACAGGAUUAGAAACCCCGGUAGUCC